GCUUCGGUGGCCUAGUGGUUAGAACGUCCGCCUCAGAUGAAGAAGGUUGCGAGUUCGAUCCACGGCCGAGUCA